rnacentral:rRNA from 1 species
CACGUAGGGGCCAAGCGUUGUCCGGAUUUAUUGGGCGUAAAGAGCUCGUAGGCGGUUCGACAAGUCGGGUGUGAAAACUCCGGGCUCAACCCGGAGACGCCACCCGAUACUGUCGUGACUGGAGUCCGGUAGGGGGAGUGGGGGAAUUCCUGGUGUAGCGGUGAAAUGCGCAGAUAUCAGGAGGAACACCGGUGGCGAAGGCGGCAUCCUGGACUGGUCCUGACACUCAGGAGCGAAAGCGUGGGGGAGCGAUCCGG